UUGGAACCAGAGAUGCAUUUGAACACGUUCUGUUCAUGUUCUGUUCAAAGCUUCAAAGCAAACGCAGAAAACCAAUUCGAUUGAACGUCGGAUCAUUCCUAGUUACAAACUUUUUUCAUAUUAACUGGUUAAACAAUGGCAGUGUUUGAGAGGGUAUCUCUAAGCCUGAAAGGAUCGG